CCAAGCGUUGUCCGGAAUCAUUGGGCGUAAAGAGCGUGUAGGCGGCUUGUUAAGUCUUGCGUGAAAUCUCGGGGCUCAACCCCGAGCGGUCGUGAGAAACUGGCAGGCUAGAGUCCGGAAGAGGCGAGUGGAAUUCCUGGUGUAGCGGUGAAAUGCGCAGAUAUCAGGAGGAACACCGGUGGCGAAGGCGGCCCUCUGGACGGUGACUGACGCUGAGACGCGAAAGCGUGGGGAGCAAACAGG
rnacentral:rRNA from 1 species